AGAGAAGUAGGCUUCUAGCUUUCACUUUGAGUCAGGAACUGCUUGAGAAACUGCUGCCUGUCAGAGCCCCUGGGAGGGAAGGUACUGCCAGAGGAGAACCAGCUACCUAAUGAAAAGUAAGAAGUGACCUGGUGCUGAGAUUGGUAACCAACGACAUUAUGCCAACACAGCAGCACAUCUUCAGUCUGUACUUGGAGGUGGUGUUUGGGGAUGGCUCUGGAGAGCAGCCUGCUGGGGAACCAGCAUCAGAGCAAGUGUUGGAGCCUGGCUCUUCCACCUCCACAGGGCAAACACCUGGCACCAGGAGCUUGGGCAUGAGGACCAACCUAAUGCAAGCAAACAAAAACAGUUCUGAGAGGAGCUGAUGGGAGACCUGCUAGAUAAAAUGAAUGCCAAAGUUCCAGAAGGACCAAAGGAAGUAUGAAAAAGACAAGGACCUAAGAAAGGUGGAGAGAGGCAGAGGCUGCUCAGUGUGAGAAGAAAUUGGUGGACAGGUUUGUUCAGUGUCACUGCAGGUUGAGGAAGAAAGAGCACAAUAGAAGGAGUUGUUUGAGUGAUUACUUGUGCUCAUGGCUACCAGACUGCACCUUUAGCACCUGCUCCUUCCUACUCCCUGAGUUCCCUCUGCACUAUUGUGCCCUGAAGAUCACGCAGCCUUUGGACAAUUCGGGAGAUGGCUGGACCACGUCAGAUGCAAUGAUUACUAGCACAUGGCAUGGACAAAUGUACCCUGUGCAUUCAUCUACUCCAGUCCAGUCAAGGGCCCCAUGUUCAAAAUGCACCAAAAAGGCCAGAGGGAGAAGGGAUAUCUAGGAAAUAACUGGACAUGCCAUUAGGGAACAUGGACCUUGGAAUGUUUUGGCACUGAGUUUAUUUAUUGUGCAGUAUGUUUUGAUGUCAUCUGGUCUGCCUUUCUAGUUCUUGCAUUAUUUUACAUGCCAAAGUGUUGAAUUUGCACACAAGUCUAUAAUAGCAGGGUUUAUUAUAUGUAAUGUUCAGUGUCACAGAUUUUAAUAAAUCACAUGCCUAUUCUCAGUAACUUUCAUAAUAAAAAGUU